rnacentral:rRNA from 1 species
AACCUGCGGAAGGAUCAUUGUCGAAUCCUGCAAAGCAGAACGACCCGUGAACAUGUUAUUACAACAUGCCGGUGGUGAGAAGGCUCUAGCCCUUUUGCUACCCGGCCGUCGGGCCGAGCGGCGCGAGGAGACGCAUCGUGCACUCCGAGCACCUCUCGCUCGACUGAACAACCAACCCCGGCGCAGGACGCGCCAAGGAAAUUGAAACGAGAAGAGCGGUCUCUUGUUGGCCCCAGAGAUGGAUAGGCCUUCGAGAUGCGCCGAAUUCUUUCGAGAAUUAUAAAAUGACUCUCGGCAACGGAUAUCUCGGCUCUCGCAUCGAUGAAGAACGCAGCGAAAUGCGAUACUUGGUGUGAAUUGCAGAAUCCCGCGAACCAUCGAGUUUUUGAACGCAAGUUGCGCCCGAAGCCUUUUGGCUGAGGGCACGUCUGCCUGGGUGUCACGCAACCGUUGCUCCCAUCCCCUGUGCCCUUUGGCAUAGGACGCGGGGCGGAUUCUGGCUUCCCGUGCGAUGCUCCUCCACGGUUGGCCCAAAUAUCGAGUUCCGGCUGCGAACGCCACGACGAUCGGUGGUUUAAUGACCUUCGGACAGGGUCGUGUGCGCCCGUCGCCCGGAAACUCACAGGCCCGUUGCAUUCCAAAGUGAUUGCUCCCAUUGCGACCCCAGGUCAGGCGGGACCACCCGCUGAGUUUAA